ACUCAAAGGAAUUGACGGGGGCCCGCACAAGCGGCGGAGCAUGCGGAUUAAUUCGAUGCAACGCGAAGAACCUUACCAAGGCUUGACAUGAACCGGAAAGACCUGGAAACAGGUGCCCCGCUUGCGGCCGGUUUACAGGUGGUGCAUGGUUGUCGUCAGCUCGUGUCGUGAGAUGUUGGGUUAAGUCCCGCAACGAGCGCAACCCUCGUUCUAUGUUGCCAGCACGUGAUGGUGGGGACUCAUAGGAGACUGCCGGGGUCAACUCGGAGGAAGGUGGGGACGACGUCAAAUCAUCAUGCCCCUUAUGUCUUGGGCUUCACGCAUGCUACAAUGGCCGGUACAAAGGGUUGCGAUACUGUGAGGUGGAGCUAAUCCCAAAAAGCCGGUCUCAGUUCGGAUUGGGGUCUGCAACUCGACCCCAUGAAGUCGGAGUCGCUAGUAAUCGCAGAUCAGCAACGCUGCGGUGAAUACGUUCCCGGGCCUUGUACACACCGCCCGU
rnacentral:rRNA from 1 species